ACUUCUGUAGAGUUAUCGGUGAGAAUCCGUUGUGAUCGUUGUGAUCAUUGUGAUUGCGUGUCUCUUUCUUCAGUUAGCAUCCUGACUCAACGUGCCGUAUCCUCGCUCUGUGUCUCCAUCGAUAAUGUUGUCGGUUGAAAGCGGUUUAGACAACUCUUGCAAAUCAAAGCGAAGAAACAGUGACAUUGAAUGAGUACAGUGUGCUAACUGUUCCAAUGGUGCUUGGUCUACACUCGCAAUUUCCAAUUUACCAACAGGGCACUUGCAAAUCCUCUCGACCGACCAAGUGCAGAUGUUUACGCAAGUAGAGAUCUGCAGAGUGCAGAUUAUGCACAGCAGUACUUUGAACCAAACUGUAAUAUUAGCUGCUGGUAAUUUAGCCUUGACGAUCAGGAUCAAGACGAACGAGCCUCUCGCUUUCCCAGUGUGUAGGUGGGGCGGAAUUCACGGGGAAGGUCGCUGACCGAAGACACGUGUGCAACUGGUAGGCAUCAUGACGUUCGUAGAUGCAUGAAGUCACAAGGCCGUGAACAAAUGCAGACGUGCCGCUUUCUCUUCCUACUUACUCUUCCUACAAUCCAUGCCUACGCUUACGUAACACCAAGUCUUCGGUUUUUGCUCCCCAAGCUACCUCUAUGAUAAUAUCCAGGUCGUUGGCCAGGCUCUGCGCGACUUUCAAUCUUCGGUCUGACAGAGGGUCAUGAAUAAAGAUUCCCUUUUUCCACCGCUCGAGUCAGUGACACAAACUUCAACAGAUAUUUUUUAAUGACUCUUACACGUGGAAUACGCGAAUUCGUUAUCUGAAUUCACGGCCAAAUGUAAACCAGUGUCAGAUGUCUCGCCAGAUUUUACUAAACGAUGAAUAAGUUCUGAGUUUAAUGUAGCCGAAUCAAUAGCAC
rnacentral:lncRNA from 1 species